UGACCUGCUAACAUGUAAGCACACUGGGCAAGCGUAUGGGGGAGCCUCAAUGACAUGAUUAUUACCCAUUGUUAGUUGGAAUGUGUGUGCUCCUUAGCGACUUGUUUGUACUAAUGAAUCCUUUUGAGGAUAUCAGAUGACUCUCGGCAACGGAUAUCUUGGUCCUCGCAUCGAUGAAGAACGUAGCGAAAUGCGAUACUUGGUGUGAAUUGCAGAAUCCCGUGAACCAUCGAGUUUUUGAACGCAAGUUGCGCCCUAAGCUUCCGGGCCGAGGGCAAGCCUGCGUGGGCGUCAAGUUACGUUGCUCGCUCACCCUCCUCGAGGUCCAUUUUGUUGAGGCCUCUUGGUUAGGGUGUUCGAAGUGGAGAUUGACCCUCCAUUCUCUUUUGACGAAUGGUGGGUUGAAGUUUUUAGUGCCGCCGGUAUUCGUGCAAGGGCAUGACGGUUGAAGUCUUGUAGUCUUGGACGUCUUCGUCCACUACGGCUUACUUGUCGUUCUCGUCGAUCCGGUGUCGUUCCCAGUUCAUGGCAUUUUGCCUUGAUCAACAUCGCGACCCCACGUCAGGCUAGACCACCCGCUGAG
rnacentral:rRNA from 1 species